AGUAUCGGCCCUUCCAGCUGCCAUUCUAGAUCUGGAAGUGUGGAACUGUGUCAUCAGUGCACGCAUGCAUCUAUCAUUCGGCGCUAUGACAGUAUGACCUACUAUGGGGAAUGAUCACGGGUUGAGCAACACAACCUAUGCCAACUGUCGGCGAUAUCGGCGAUUUUGCAGACCUAACCGGGUGUAUGCCUUGCCCGAGGUGCCCAACCACUCCACUCUUGCACAUCUCCACCGUGUCCAUACAGACUGAGGAACACUGCACACAGAGGGCACUCAGAAAGUCCUCGGCCUCGUACCCAGGAAAUAACAUUCAACGCGAUCAUAGCCAUGUGAUUAUGCGUGAUCCGUGUCGUGACUUGUGCGACACCGUCGUUCCAUGGUUCGUACCACUCGAUGACGCUGCACUUCUCGAGCCCACGACAGCCAAGCGUCGCUCGACGAAGAGCCAGCCGUACAACUGUCGCACCAACAAAGAGACUUUGUAAAAGUAAGCAAUGCGGUAUACCGCUGUGUCGAGGAAUUAGGACAGGGGACAGUUUGUUACAUGGCACCUGUACCUAGCGUUGAACAUUGACCAGCCACAGACACUUCGAGCAGAGGUGACAGGGAAUUCCAGGACCAUUUAAUUCAGCGGAAUAGCAAUACUAACGUACAAAAGAAUGGAUGGCAAGCCCAUUGGUACAUCAUGUAAGACCGUGUGCAGUCAGCAUUCAUUACGGCAUGCCCCAAAUCUAAUCCAAUCUUCAACAUCAUCAUCACCAGGUUGCCACUGUGCAUCGCCAUACUGAUUGGCCCAAGCAGUGGGAGAUGAAGCACAGCAACAGGGAGUCACUAUGGAGAGAAGAUGAGACAAGAUCAUGUUCCAAGCAAGCAAGUACACAACAUGCUGCUGCUGUUGAUGAUGAUGUGAGUGUGUGUGUGCAUGUGAGUGUGCAAUUGUAGACAGUUGGUAGUAAAUUGCUUAGAUACAUGUUUGAUAUUUCCCACAUCAUAUACCGGUACACCACAAGAAAGUGUGGGCGGGUGUGUAUUUUCACCUCUGCAUACAUGUGGAUGCUCGCACCACGUAGCAUGACUCAUGCAUUCAGC